rnacentral:rRNA from 1 species
GUGCACCAGUCGCGAAACCUCCGCAAUGCGGGAAACCGCGACGGGGGGACCCCGAGUGCCGUGGCAACGCCACGGCUUUUCCGGAGUGUAAAAAGCUCCGGGAAUAAGGGCUGGGCAAGGCCGGUGGCAGCCGCCGCGGUAAUACCGGCGGCCCGAGUGGUGGCCGCUAUUAUUGGGCCUAAAGCGUCCGUAGCCGGGCCCGUAAGUCCCUGGCGAAAUCCCACGGCUCAACCGUGGGGCUUGCUGGGGAUACUGCGGGUCUUGGGACCGGGAGAGGCGGGGGGUACCCCUGGGGUAGGGGUGAAAUCCUAUAAUCCCAGGGGGACCGCCAGUGGCGAAGGCGCCCCGCUGGAACGGGUCCGACGGUGAGGGACGAAGGCCAGGGGAGCAAACCGGAUUAGAUACCCCCGUAGUCC